rnacentral:tRNA from 5 species
GGAAGGGUGGCAGAGUGGUCGAUUGCAGCGGUCUUGAAAACCGCCGAUGGGCAACCAUCCGUGGGUUCGAAUCCCACCCCUUCCGCCA